AUUGAACGCUGGCGGCAUGCCUUACACAUGCAAGUCGAACGGUAACAGGUCUUCGGAUGCUGACGAGUGGCGAACGGGUGAGUAAUACAUCGGAACGUGCGCGAGAGUGGGGGGUAACGAAGCGAAAGCUUUACUAAUAUCGCGUAUGAUCCCAGGAUGAAAGCAGGGGACCGCAAGGCCUUGCGCUCACGGAGAGGCCCAUGGCAGAUUAGGUAGUUGGUGGGAUAAAAGCUUACCAAGCCGACGAUCUGUAGCUGGUCUGAGAGGACGACCAGCCACACUGGGACUGAGACACGGCCCAGACUCCUACGGGAGGCAGCAGUGGGGAAUUUUGGACAAUGGGCGCAAGCCUGAUCCAGCCAUGCCGCGUGCAGGAUGAAGGCCUUCGGGUUGUAAACUGCUUUUGUACGGAACGAAAAGACGUCUUCUAAUAAAGGGGGUCCAUGACGGUACCGUAAGAAUAAGCACCGGCUAACUACGUGCCAGCCGCCGCCGUAAAAC
rnacentral:rRNA from 1 species